rnacentral:rRNA from 1 species
GAUCCUGGCUCAGGACGAACGCUGGCGGCGUGCCUAACACAUGCAAGUCGAACGGGACGCAUUGGAACAAGACUUCGGUCAAGGGAAUAUGCGUUUAGUGGCGAACGGGUGAGUAACGCGUGAGCAACCUGCCCUUCAGAGGGGGACAACAGUUGGAAACGACUGCUAAUACCGCAUGACAUACGAAGGAGGCAUCUUCUUUGUAUCAAAGAUUUAUCGCUGAAGGAUGGGCUCGCGU